GACAAACGCUGGCGGCGUGCUUAACACAUGCAAGUCGAACGGAAAGGCCCUGCUUUUGUGGGGUGCUCGAGUGGCGAACGGGUGAGUAACACGUGAGUAACCUGCCCUUGACUUUGGGAUAACUUCAGGAAACUGGGGCUAAUACCGGAUAGGAGCUCCUGCUGCAUGGUGGGGGUUGGAAAGUUUCGGCGGUUGGGGAUGGACUCGCGGCUUAUCAGCUUGUUGGUGGGGUAGUGGCUUACCAAGGCUUUGACGGGUAGCCGGCCUGAGAGGGUGGCCGGCCACAUUGGGACUGAGAUACGGCCCAGACUCCUACGGGAGGCAGCAGUGGGGAAUAUUGCACAAUGGGCGGAAGCCUGAUGCAGCAACGCCGCGUGCGGGAUGACGGCCUUCGGGUUGUAAACCGCUUUCGCCUGUGACGAAGCGUGAGUGACGGUAAUGGGUAAAGAAGCACCGGCUAACUACGUG
rnacentral:rRNA from 1 species